GGGGGGGGGGGGGGGGGGGGGGGGGGGGGGGGGGGGGGGGGGGGGGGCCCGGCGUGGGGGGGGGGCUCGGGUGGCGAGCGGGGGAGUAACACGUGGGUAACCUGCCCUUGACUUGGGGAUAACUUCAGGAGACUGGGGCUAAUACCGGAGAGGAGCUCCUGCUGCAGGGUGGGGGUUGGAACGUUUCGGCGGUUGGGGAUGGACUCGCGGCUUAUCAGCUUGUUGGUGGGGUAGUGGGUGACCAAGGCUUUGACGGGUCGCCGGCCUGAGAGGGUGACCGGCCACAUUGGGACUGAGAUGCGGCCCAGACUCCUACGGGAGGCAGCAGUGGGGAAUAUUGCACAAUGGGCGGCAGCCUGAUGCAGCAACGCCGCGUGCGGGAUGACGGCCUUCGGGUUGUAAACCGCUUUCGCCUGUGACGAAGCGUGAGUGACGGUAAUGGGUAAAGAAGCACCGGCUAACUACG
rnacentral:rRNA from 1 species